rnacentral:misc_RNA from 1 species
UCUCCGUUGGUGAACCAGCGGAGGGAUCAUUACCGAGUUAUACAACUCCCAAACCCACUGUGACCCUUCCCUCAGUGGCCUCGGCGGGAACGCCCCGGCCGCCUGCCCCCGCGCCGGCGCCGGACCCAGGCGCCCGCCGACGGGACCCCAAGCUCUCUUGCAUUACGCCCAGCGGGCGGAAUUUCUUCUCUGAGUUGCACAAGCAAAAACAAAUGAAUCAAAACGUUCAACAACGGAUCUCUUGGUUCUG